GACGAACGCUGGCGGCGUGCCUAAUACAUGCAAGUAGAACGCUGAAGGAGGAGCUUGCUUCUCCGGAUGAGUUGCGAACGGGUGAGUAACGCGUAGGUAACCUGCCUGGUAGCGGGGGAUAACUAUUGGAAACGAUAGCUAAUACCGCAUAACAGUAGAUGUUGCAUGACAUUUGCUUAAAAGGUGCAAUUGCAUCACUACCAGAUGGACCUGCGUUGUAUUAGCUAGUUGGUGAGGUAACGGCUCACCAAGGCUACGAUACAUAGCCGACCUGAGAGGGGGAUCGGCCACACUGGGACUGAGACACGGCCCAGACUCCUACGGGAGGCAGCAGUAGGGAAUCUUCGGCAAUGGACGGAAGUCUGACCGAGCAACGCCGCGUGAGUGAAGAAGGUUUUCGGAUCGUAAAGCUCUGUUGUAAGAGAAGAACGAGUGUGAGAGUGGAAAGUUCACACUGUGACGGUAUCUUACCAGAAAGGGACGGCUAACUACGUG
rnacentral:rRNA from 1 species